GUUACUUAUGCUGAUUUUGGGUAAUUUAGUGCUUAUUAGGAAAUUGUGUUUUGGUUUCUACUUUGGUUAAUGUUGAUUUUUUUGUCCAGGUUUCACUCAGCUAAGCAUUUGCUAGAUGUAUGUAUGAAGAAUGUGGGAUUAGGUGAUUUAAAGCCACGCAAAGGCUACCAUUUCCCUCAAGGAAGCUGAAGUAUUCUAGCCAUGUAAUUGCUUACCUAAUCCUCUGCACAGGGGUUUAGUUCUCACUAAUAGUUGUGAGAAAGCUUUUCUGAAGCAGCCCAAAGUAUUCUUGAGUUCGAAGUAUACAGGUAAGAGACCUGGAAAGGGAGGCAACCGAUUCUGGAAGAGUAUUGAGCUGGGCUAAAGACCCCAGGGAUGCUAUUGAAGGCUCCAAUGGAUGAAUGACCACUAUGGGUGUAUAUGUGCGUGAUUUGCUACUUGGGCAGAGUUAAGGUUCUGGUUUGAUUUUGGGAAGCUUCAAAUUGGUGGCUCUGGAGUUGUGAUUGUUUGGUGUUCUUCUUCGAAGUUCGAACUACAGGUCAGUCUUCUUGUGGGAUAUAUCAUGUGACCUCAUUGCUAUAUGUUAAUCACGUUAUGUUCUGUAGUGGAUGUGACCUCAUUGCUAUAUUCAUUUGAUUUUUAGUGACUGCAA